AGAGUUUGAUCCUGGCUCAGAAUGAACGCUGGCGACAUGGAUUAGGCAUGCAAGUCGAACGUGAAGCCCAAGCUUGCUUGGGUCGAAAGUGGCGAAAGGGUGAGUAACACGUGAACAACCUGCCCCCGGGUUCGGGAUAGCCUCUGGAAACGGAGAUUAACACCGGAUAUGCUGGGACCUUCAUGGGUCCCGUGCGAAAAAUUCAUUGCCCGGGGAGGGGUUCGCGGCCCAUUAGCUUGUUGGUGAGGUAACGGCUCACCAAGGCUGUGACGGGUAGGUGGUCUGAGAGGAUGGUCACCCACACUGGGACUGAGACACUGCCCAGACUCCUACGGGAGGCUGCAGUCGAGAAUCUUCCGCAAUGGGCGAAAGCCUGACGGAGCAAUGUCGCGUGAGGGACGAAGGCCUUCGGGUCGUAAACCUCUGUCACCCGGGACGAAGAAGUGACGGUACCGGGAGAGGAAGCCAUGGCUAACUACGUGCCAGCAGCCGCGGUAAUACGUAGAUGGCAAGCGUUAUUCGGAUUUACUGGGCGUAAAGGGUCCGCAGGGGGUCUGUCAAGUCGGAUGUGAAAUACCGGGGCUCAACCCCGGCCGUGCAUCCGAAACUGCCGGACUGGAGUGGGCGAGGGGCUGGCGGAAUUCCUGGUGUAGCGGUGGAAUGCGUAGAUAUCAGGAGGAACACCGAUGGCGAAGGCGGCCGGCUGGCGCCCCACUGACCCUCAUGGACGAAAGCGCGGGUAGCAAACAGGAUUAGAUACCCUGGUAGUCCGCGCAGUAAACGGUGCACACUAGGCGUGGGGCGGCCCAACGGUCCGUUCCGUGCCCGAGCUAACGUGUUAAGUGUGCCGCCUGGGAACUACGGUCGCAAGAUUAAAACUCAAAGGAAUUGACGGGGGCCCGCACAAGCGGUGGAGCAUGUGGCUUAAUUCGAGGCAACGCGAAGAACCUUACCUGGGUUUGACAUGUAUUUGCCCGCCUGUGAAAGCAGGCUUUUCUUCGGAACGGAUACACAGGUGCUGCAUGGCUGUCGUCAGCUCGUGUCGUGAGAUGUUCGGUUAAGUCCGGCAACGAGCGCAACCCGCGCCGCCAGUUACCAUCAUUAAGUUGGGGACUCUGGCGGGACUGCCUGUGUCAAGCAGGAGGAAGGCGCGGAUGACGUCAAGUCCGUAUGGUCCUUACACCCAGGGCUGCACACGUGCUACAAUGGCCGGAAUAAUGGGCAGCGAGGCCGCGAGGCUUAGCGAAUCCUCAAACCCGGCCCCAGUUCGGAUCGCAGUCUGCAACUCGACUGCGUGAAGCCGGAAUCGCUAGUAAAGGCGUAUCAGCAACGACGCCUUGAAUACGUCCCCGGGCCUUGUACACACCGCCCGUCACAUCAUGGGAGCCGGUUCCACCCCAAGCCGCCGGGCCAACCCUUCGGGGAGGCAGGCGUCCAAGGUGGGGCUGGUGACUGGGAUGAAGUCGUAACAAGGUA
rnacentral:rRNA from 1 species